UACGUAGGGUGCGAGCGUUGUCCGGAAUUACUGGGCGUAAAGAGCUCGUAGGUGGUUUGUCGCGUUGUUCGUGAAAACCGGGGGCUUAACCUCUGGCGUGCGGGCGAUACGGGCAGACUGGAGUACUGCAGGGGAGACUGGAAUUCCUGGUGUAGCGGUGGAAUGCGCAGAUAUCAGGAGGAACACCGGUGGCGAAGGCGGGUCUCUGGGCAGUAACUGACGCUGAGGAGCGAAAGCGUGGGAGCGAACAGG
rnacentral:rRNA from 1 species